rnacentral:tRNA from 1 species
GAUCCGGUAGCUCAGUUGGUAGAGCAUCUGACUUUUAAUCAGAUGGUCGCGAGUUCGAAUCUCGCCCGGAUCA